AUCGAGCGGCGUGGUGCUUUGUUGCCGGAUUGCGGGCCACGUUAAACAAGCCGCUAAAGAGGUCAGGGAUCAUGCAAC
rnacentral:ncRNA from 2 species